GAGAGGGGUGUGCUCUGAGAGGCAGACACACCAUCGGCAGGCAGAGCAGGAGCAGCACACACAACCUCCCCGCACAACCUCCACGCACAACCUCCACGCACAGCCUCCACGCACAACCUCCACGCACAACCUCCCCGAGAGAGAGAGAGAGAGAGAGAGGGAGGGAGAGCAAGCAUCGACCACCGCCUGGGGGAGGGUUCAAACCGCCAGCGUGUCAAUUAUAAGCAAAAAUGGAGGAGACACGUCCAAAUAAGGUCAGCGGACCUGACGCGGUCCACAGAUCACCCUGCGGGCUCGUCUCGCUGCACAGAGGGAGACCAGGCGCACCUUUGCAAGGAUCAAUCCAGAGGACGUCGUCCAUCUUCCACCUCGUUGCCAGCGCCAGAUCGCUCUUGGAAUCACUCCCUUUUUUAACUCCAUUCUAACGCCAUGGAGCAGAAAAUAAACGAGACUCCCACCAACACAUCGCCUCAGAAGCACAUGAAGAACCGCUCCAAGUCCACGGACGAGCUCCAGCACCCCCGCAGGGCUUUCUCCUCACAGAAGUCCCUGCCAGGGAGACCAGAGCUGGAGCAUGUCAAGGAGGGCCCCGAUGACACGGAGUCCUCCACCUCCUCCACCGAGGAGCUGAAGGAGGAACAGGAGUGACUUCCCCCCGCCCUCCCCCUCCUCCUCCACCAUCACCCCCUCCUCCUCUUCCUCCUCCUCCUCCUCCCCUCCCCACCCGCUCGCCCCCCUCCCCUUACCCUCCCAGACGCCUGUUGUGGGA
ensembl:lncRNA